rnacentral:rRNA from 1 species
GACGAACGCUGGCGGCGUGCCUAAUACAUGCAAGUUGAGCGCUGAAGGUUGGUACUUGUACCAACUGGAUGAGCAGCGAACGGGUGAGUAACGCGUGGGGAAUCUGCCUUUGAGCGGGGGACAACAUUUGGAAACGAAUGCUAAUACCGCAUAAAAACUUUAAACACAAGUUUUAAGUUUGAAAGAUGCAAUUGCAUCACUCAAAGAUGAUCCCGCGUUGUAUUAGCUAGUUGGUGAGGUAAAGGCUCACCAAGGCGAUGAUACAUAGCCGACCUGAGAGGGGGAUCGGCCACAUUGGGACUGAGACACGGCCCAAACUCCUACGGGAGGCAGCAGUAGGGAAUCUUCGGCAAUGGACGAAAGUCUGACCGAGCAACGCCGCGUGAGGGAAGAAGGUUUUCGGAUAGUAAAACUCUGUUGGUAGAGAAGAACGUUGGUGAGAGUGGAAAGCUCAUCAAGUGACGGUAACUACCCAGAAAGGGACGGCUAACUACGUG